rnacentral:rRNA from 1 species
AUACGUAGGUGGCGAGCGUUGUCCGGAAUGAGUGGGCGUAAAGGGCGCGUAGGCGGCGCGGUAAGUCUGGAGUGAAAGUCCUGCUUUCAAGAUGGGAAUUGCUUUGGAUACUGUCGGGCUUGAGUGCAGGUGAGGGAAGUGGAAUACCCAGUGUAGCGGUGAAAUGCGUAGAGAUUGGGAGGAACACCAGUGGCGCAGGCGACUUACUGGACUGUAACUGACGCUGAGGCGCGAAAGUGUGGGGAGCAAACAGGAUUAGAUACCCUGGUAGUCCACACUGUAAACGAUGAAUGCUAGGUGUAGGGGGUAUCGACCCCUUCUGUGCCGCAGUCAACACAAUAAGCAUUCCGCCUGGGGAGUACGGCCGCAAGGUUGAAACUCAAAGGAAUUGACGAGG